GCUCAGUAGAAUCCCACCUGAGAAGCUUUACCUGCUCCAAGGAUGUCCUCACCGAGCUCGGACUCAGAGUGGAGCAAGAAGGAGAACAAGAUGUUCGAGGAGGCGCUCGCCUACUACGGCGUGGGCGCCCCCAACCUCUGGGAGAAGGUGGCCAGCGCCAUGGGGGGCACCAAGUCCGCCGAGGAGGUGCGCCGCCACUUCCAGUUCCUCGUUGACGACGUCAAGAACAUCGAGCACGGACGCAUCCCCUUCCCCAAGUACAAGACCCAGGGCUUCUGGACCUAAAAGGAUGAAGCAGUGUAAACUCCAGUGGACAGUGAAAAAAGUUGUACAAACUAGAUCUCUAGAAUGGACUGAUGUUCUAGCAGGAAGCAAGGGAAUCAUUGGUUAGAAUAAUAGGAAGGAAUGGAGUAUUGUCUAUUGUGUGUACAAAAUAUUCUUAGGUUAUGUCCAAGGUCAAGUCUGUCUCUAUGUUGUACAAACUAGAUCUCUUAAGAGUGGACUGGUGUUCUAGGGAGAUGCAAGGCAAUUCAGCUUUGGUUCGAAUAGCAGGAAGAAAAGGAGUUGUAUAUUGUGUGUACAAAGUAUUAUUAGGUUAUGUCCAAGGUUAAGUCUCUGUUACUGUAGAUUAUCAUCUAGAUUCAAGAACUGCAUGUUGUUCAGUAUCCCCUCGAACCAAGUCGUCAAGUAAACCAUCAUGUAAACGCAUGUAUUUGUGUUAUUUGUAAGAGGUCGUACCUGUAGCAUUUUGUCGCCCCCGA